rnacentral:rRNA from 1 species
GAGUUUGAUCCUGGCUCAGAUUGAACGCUGGCGGCAGGCCUAACACAUGCAAGUCGAACGGUAACAGGAAGAAGCUUGCUUCUUUGCUGACGAGUGGCGGACGGGUGAGUAAUGUCUGGGAAACUGCCUGAUGGAGGGGGAUAACUACUGGAAACGGUAGCUAAUACCGCAUAACGUCGCAAGACCAAAGAGGGGGACCUUCGGGCCUCUUGCCAUCGGAUGUGCCCAGAUGGGAUUAGCUAGUAGGUGGGGUAACGGCUCACCUAGGCGACGAUCCCUAGCUGGUCUGAGAGGAUGACCAGCCACACUGGAACUGAGACACGGUCCAGACUCCUACGGGAGGCAGCAGUGGGGAAUACUGUACAAUGGGCGCAAGCCUGAUGCAGCCAUGCCGCGUGUAUGAAGAAGGCCUUCGGGUUGUAAAGUACUUUCAGCGGGGAGGAAGGGAGUAAAGUUAAUACCUUUGCUCAUUGACGUUACCCGCAGAAGAAGCACCGGCUAACUCCGUGCCAGCAGCCGC